rnacentral:lncRNA from 1 species
ACUCACUCCCGAAACCACCCCCACCCCCCGAGGACAUGAUCUUACGCUAACAUCCCCCGCCGCGGCCACUAUCCCUCCAACCAACUAUGGGGAACAGUGGCACACGUACACAACUAAAACAGAAUACGCAAAAGGUGCAAGAUAGAUAACAACAAAAUAGACCACAAUCGAACUGAAAGCUAAAAUAUGUAAGAAGUUACACAAAGUAAACAAG